UUCUUAACCAUUGUUCUAGGGUAUAUUCCCAUACUUAGCCUUGUAUUCUUGCCAAAGCUGAUCCACUGUCUUCCCCAAUAGCUGAACAAAUAAUUCAUCACUAUAACCACUUCUCAUCUGCUGGUUCAGUUGUGCCACAAACCCACUCUUCAGACUAUCACAGUAAUCAAGAAAAUGAGCUGUAACAUCAUAGCCCUGGUCCCAUUUUUGUCCCUCCCCUGGUUUUUUCCAGUGGCUAGGUGCAUAGUUUGCCUUCAGCCUUACAUAGUCUGCAAUUCCUUCAAUUACUCCAGUAGGACCACUCCACUGCCAAACAUGGACCAUUUCAUGGUACAGCACCCCUGUGAUCUCUAUUCUCACAUCCCCGCUAUAGCCAUUAACGUAUCUUGCACUCACAUGAAUCUCAUCGUUGCUGGUAUAUGCAACCCCGUCCAUGUCAUCCACGAAUAAACUCACCUUCUCCACGCUUUUUCUAUCAGCAGGAGAGUUUUGCUGGAAGAUCCCCCAUAUGAAUUGGGUGGCUGAGUCCAGUGUUUGCUUGGUGUAUUCUUCUCCUAUUUCGUCACGGAAACGCACGCCACCAGGGGUUGAGAGGGCGUUGUUGGUGAAACUGUAUUCCACUGCUUCUGUUCCUUGCAUUGCAGCUAGGAACAAUAAGAAGCAGACAACAUACAUUGUCAUGGUUGGUUUUAGAGACACUUUUGGUUUCUCUUGGAGAAUCAGUGUGGGUUGGUUAUUGCAAAACCAUAGUGUUGGAUGAUUUAUAUAGCAAAAAGCCAAGGGAAAAGUGGUCGUUCCACGCCAUUGACGUUGUUUUUAGUGUUUGUAUCGUUUGACGUAAUCCAAUAAGAAGGAGCAUGGAGAGGCGACAUAAUCUAUACAAUACUUUCUUUCUUCUUUCCUUUUGGAAUGUAAAUAGUGUUUCAAUAAUAAAAGUAGGAGGAGGAAGUUUCCUCUGCAUUAAUUAAUGAUUUAUGAUUAAUCAACUGUUUUUUUAUACUUUGGUGGACUCUUUAUUUUAAUCGUUAUACCUCAAAAGUACCAGAAUGUAAAAAUAUGAAGACUAAAAUAUAAAAACUAAAAUGUAAUAAAUGCAAGUAUAAAAAUUAAAUGAUUAGUUAUAAAUCUAACAAAAAUCAAGGCUAUGUUUGCUCACAAAACAAAAUUAUUUUAUUUUUUGUUUAUGUUCAAAUAUAAAAAUAUUAUAUUAUUUUCUUUUCUAAAAUUUAUAUGUUAGAAAAAAUUAUCACCAUAAGUUGCAAGAUUUGUGAUUGUAGUGAUCACCGGUUUUUAAAAUAACUAUAAAAAAAAAUGUAUGCUUUAUUUGUUUUUCUAUUGAACAUUUUUUAAGAAAAGAGAAAACAUUUUUUUUAAAAGUAUUUUCUAAAGUCUAUUCAUUUAUAUAUAUAUAUAUAUAUAUUAUAUUUAAGUUAUAUUUUAAAAUACUAAAUAAUUUAUAUAAUAUGUUGGAUUACUACCUAAAAGUUGAUAGAGAAAAUUAUGUCAAUAUAUCACUUUCGCCUCCAUCAACGCUGCAAUCCUGAUUCAAACACAAACAGUGUUAUAAAAAAAAAAGUUAGAUACUAACUUUAAAAUUAAGUUAUUAAUAAUAAAAACUACUUUAAAUAAUAAUAAUUUUUAAUUUAUAAUAUUUAAUUUAGUUUCUAAAUUUAGUUAUUUAAUGAUUUUUUUUUUAAUUUUUAGGUAAAAUUUUAUUUGUUUAAAAAAUUAUAUUUUUUUAUUUUUAUGGAAAUUUUAAUUUUUCAUAUAAAAAAUUAAAAUAAUAUAUAUAAUAAAAUCAUGCAUAAAUAUAUAUAGCAAUUAUUUAAUUAAUAUCUACUAAUACAAUUUAAUUUUAGUCUGUACCUUACAAAAUCAAUGUGUAAAAUAUUGAUAUUAUGGUUUGGGGUGUUUAUAAGUGUUGGUCAAAUGUAAUAACUUGAAUUUGAGUUAUUUGAGAAAUUUAGAUGCCAUUUGGAACCACAUGAUAUUUUGUUUUGGAGUUUAGGGGUUCAGAGUUUGUGUGCCAUUUGGCACAGUAACUUGUGGUCAGAAAACAUAGAUCUUGCUGGUUUCCAUAAAUAGGGAAGACAAACCUAAUAGAUAAGAUCUUAUGAUAAAUAUUUUAGAAGAUGGUUGAUACGUUCACAAUUUUAUAGCAACUGUUUUUUUUAUUAAGAUGAAAUAAUUUUAAAAUUACAUUUUUUUAUUUUUUAUUUUUUUAAUCAGCAAUAAAGAUUUAAUAAAUAGAAGUACUAGGGGUACUCCAACCCAUGUACAAAAUUUCUUAUGCUAGAGAAAUGAGGUUUCCAGAUAACAUGCCUAAACAUAGACAUAUUCUACAUAUAUAUCUGCUAAUCUUAAUUAACCUCUUAAAAACAACAAGAUGUCAAUACAUAAACCAAAUUAGCUAUCAAGGAAUCCUGUAACUUAGUCCAGUUCCAGACUAUAAGCGUAUCAGCUCAAAAGAAAGACUUUGCCUCCUUGCUAUCUACUGCAUUUUCCAAGCAUCCAUUAUGAUUAUAGUUGUACCCCAAGGGUAUUCCUCUCCUGCAAAUCAAGAAUCCAACCAAAAGCAAAGAAAUGACGUUAAUCAUCAAUGUAGUGAUUUUAAACAUUCAUAUACAUUAAUACACCAAUCAAAAUAAGAAAAAUUUGACUUUGAAAAUUUAUAACUUAUCAUGUCCAAUUUUAAAAUUACAUUAACCAUAUCACAAUUUUAAACUCAAUAAUUGUCAAAUUAAUAUUAUAUAUAUAAGAAACCUCACAAUUUUAUUUUUCUUUCCAUCUGGCUCUCUCUCAUUUCAUCAGUGAGGUCAAGAAUGGGAAUUGAUAUAAGUGAGGUGAAGCUUUUUUCUGGAAAUAAUAAUUAAUUAUUUGAAAAUUUCAAUGCUCAAUAAUAAAUUUCAAUACAUCAAAUAAAAAAAUUUAUUUAUAAAAUAAGCAUAUCUUAAACUCUUCCAACUUUAAUCUAAACAUACACGCAUUUAUUAAACUUGCAGGCAUGCCUCACAGUGACUUAGAGGUAUUAGGAUUUAUAGUAUGCUUUUAUACUAAAUUUAGGUUUUUGUCAGACUUUUUAUUAUUAAAGAACUAUCAUAUCUCCCCACAUUUUAUUUUAUAUUUAAUUUCCACAUUUUAGUUGGAGUGUAUUAGCAACCUACCUUUAAAAUUUAAGAAAAAAAAUUUCAUUAUUAGAUCAUUAUAUAUAAUAUCUUAUCACAGAUUAUACAUAACUUGUGCGAAUUUUUUAAAAAAAUCUAUUACGAAGUGAACUUUAAGUCUAACUCAAUCCCAUAAAACCGACUCAUGAGAUUGAGAUUUGCACCCACUUAUAUACAAUGAAAGGCUUUAAUCUCUAGUCGAUGUGAGAUCUCCAACAGAAUCCAAUAAUUUUAUAUCUAAGUUUAUUAUACCUUUUAUUCUGCUUUUAGUAUUAACUUAUUUUAUUUUUUACCUUUCAUCAUCUAUGUUUUCAUUUUUUAUUUUAACACCAUAGUUUCUUGGAUUGAAAAUCAAUUAAGCAUGGUGGAAUGAAGAUUCAACAACCCAAAGAUUUAAUAACUUGUUCUAGCUUGGAUAAAAGUUUCCAUUUAUUCAACAGCAGAUCUAAGAGCUGAUACAAUUUUAUUGAAAAACAUAGUGAUUAGUGAUUUAUUGUUUAAAUUGAAAAGCUCUUAGCUAUAGGUCUCUUGGGCAAUAUUGCCAUACUUGGCCUUAUAGUCUCGCCACAGCUGAUCCACUGGUUUUCCCAGUAACUGAACAAAGUAUUGAUCACUGUAACCACUCCUCGACAACUUAUUCAAUUGUGCCACAAACCCACUUCUGAGACUUUCACAAUAGUCCAAAAAACGAGCAGUAACAUCAUAACCCUGGUCCCAUUUCUGACCUUGCCCCGGUUUGACCCAGUGGCUAGGUGCAUAGUUUGCCUUCAGCCUCACGUAAUCUGCUAUGCCUUCAAUUAGCCCCCCAGGAACACGACCAUUUCCAUUCCACUGCCAAACGUGGACCAUUUCAUGAUACAGCACCCCUGAAAUCUCUUUCUUCACAUCCCCAUUGUACUUUCCAACAUAUCUUGCACUCAAAUGGAUCUGAUCUCCGCUAGUGUAUGCAACUCCAUCCAUGUCAUCUACGAAUAAACUUACCCUCUGCACGUUUUUUCUGUCGGCGGGGUUGCUUUGCUGAAGGAUCCUCCAUAUGAACUGGGUGGCAGAGUCAAGUGUUUGCUUCGCGUAUUGUUCUCCUAUUUUGUCACGGAAAGCUACACCACCAGAAGUUGUCAGUGCCCUGUUAGUCACAGCGUACUGAACUGCAUGUGUUUGAUGAAAUGCAUGUAAGAAUACUAAAAAGCAAAGAGCCUGUUUGAUCAUGGUUGCGUUUUCAGCCUUAUGGGUUCCUUUGGUGAACAAGUUUAUGGUUUAUCACUGCACAAGGAUUCAGUUUGGUGCUUGCUUUUUAUAGAAAACAAGAGCUCCCUCACUUCCAUGCUUUUCAUUUUUUAUUUUUUAUUUUCAAAGUACGCAACCUAACUUUGAAUUUUCAAAUGGGUGUGUCAUCAUAUUCAAGUCAAUUUUUCUUUUCUUAAAUACUCAAUAGGUAGAGUGGGCCAAACUUGUCAGUAUGGGUCACUUACACUAAUUUUUAGUGUAAAAUAAGUUUUUACUGCAACACAUAGAAGUUUGUUUUUUUAUUUUUUAAAAAUAUUUGUAUUUAAGUGUUUUGACAUAAGAUUUGUUGAAAUAACAUGGUUAAAAUUAAUUAUUAUAUUUUAAAUAUUGUUUGUUUUGAAGAUUGACGAAAUUUGUAAUAAAUUUAAUUUUAAUAAAUUAUUUUUAACUACAAGUUUUAAGAUAGGUGUGACUAUUAAAAAAUAAAAUUACAAUCUUUUAAUAUCAUAAAUAGAUUUAAAAUAAGAUAAAAUCAAAUGAAAAAAUGGAUUAUUUUUACAAAAUUGAGACAAAUUUUUGUCCACAAUUACAAUGGAUCGUUUUUGUAAAAAAAGUUGUUCGAAUAUUACAUAAUUUUAGUUCACAGUAACUAAACAAAAAUUGUGUUACGUCAUUUCUUAACUUUAGAAAGUGAUCUCAUUUUAAUAAUAAGGAACAAGUUUUGGUCAAAAACCCGAAAAAGUGGAUUGCAAUAAAUAGUGCUGAUGUAUUUUUAAUUUUUUCAGCAAAGUUAGUCUUCUUGGAAAUGAAAUUCGGUGAGAAUUGGAUAUUGAAAAUAGUCUGGAGUAUAAUUCGGUGAGAAUUGCAUAUUUUUUUUUUAGAGUAAAUACUCUGGUCUCUUUUUAAUGUAAAAGAAGAGGUUCAUCUAAGAAAGACUCUUCAAUACUUAAGUUAAUAGGAGAACAAAAAUAAUAAGUUCUUAUCAAUAUGAAAAUUAAAAAUAUGAAAUUAGAUAGAUUGUACUUUCUUGAGAGUCAUUUAUAAGCGAAUGGUAUCACUACAAGAAAACUAUGAAAUAAAAACAAUUUUUAAAAAAAAAUAAUAAUUAGUUGUUAUAAUAACUAAAUUAAAAACUAUUUUAAAGAUUAAAAAAAAUUUGGUUUCUAAAUUAGUUUCUAUUAUUGUUAAAUAAUUUUAAAAUUGAUAUUUAAUUAAUAAUUAAGGUUUUUCUACCAAAUUAUUUAGAUUAUAUAUUUGAUUUUGUUUGUUGAACAAGUUGACGGUUGAUCAGUGCAAGGAUUCAGUUAGGUGUUUCCUUUUUAUACAAAACAAGACCUCCCUUACUUCCAUGCUAUUCAUAUUUAUUAAUCUAAUGUGAUAAUGAAACAUUGAUUAAAUCAAAUUUAUUGAAAGAGAGAAAAAAUAACACUGAUUCUAUUCAUAAUUUUUAAUCUAAUGCGAUAAUGAAACAUUGAUUAAAUUAAAUUUAUUGAAAAAGAGAAAAAAUAACACUGAUUUUAAGAUUUUAACAUCAAAAAAACUUAAUUAAGUUAAUAAUAAAAAAAAAUAGAGAAUGGUAGCAGUGGUCUUAUAGAUAAGUGGUUGACGUGUGUAGACUGUGAACAGUAAGUCUUCUUUUAAUGGUCUUGGUCUUCGCAGUACUGGAAAGUAGUAUUAUAAAGUAUUUGUUUUUAAUUUUUAUUUCUAAAAAUUUGAAAUCAAUAUUUUUAAUAUUUAUUUUAAAAUAGAUAAAAAUAAAAUUAUAGUAUAAAUCUUACACAUUCUAACAAGUAAAAUUAUUAACUAAAGAUUCAAAAGCAAAACUCAUUUAUUUUAAAUGAAUUAAAAUAUAUUUAAGUAAUUUUUUUUGACAAAAAUUCACAUUUAUGGUAAUGAGGUCAAUGUUCCCCUUUCCUAAUCAUUUUAUUUUUAAAAAAUAAUAUGUAUGUAUAAUUAUAAUUUAUUCUCAUAACUUAUAAUGUAAAAAGAGAAAUUACACUCUUCUCAUUUCCCACCUAAAUAUUCGUAACAUUUUAUCUCUUCUUUUGCUUGAAAGUGCACUUAUUUAACAUCUCUACGGAAUAAAUUCUCUCUAUUGUUUCAUUCAAUCUAACUUUGGUUUAUCUUAGUACAUUAAUUUUAUCUUUUUAUCUGUUAAUUGAUAUCUUUAAAUAUGUCUUUAGUUUCUACAAGAAAUUAAUUUACAUUAAUAUAACUUACACCAAUAUACUUAUAGAUAAAAUAAUAUUUUCUAAAAAGAGCUUAAUUUAAUCAAGAAAAAAGAAGACCAAUUUAUAUGUGUAAUUUAUCAUUAAGAAUAUAUUAAUGUGAAUCAAAUAAAGAAUGAUAUAUUUAAUUGUUCCGGUACUGUCAAUAAUCGAGGUCAAUAAUAUUUUAUAUACUCCUUCAUUCAAUUCAUUAAGGUGUCUUUUGAGGAUAAAAUCGUAAUACUUCAAAUACGAUGAUUGAUCCUAACAUACUUCUCGUUUCACAUUAUUUAAGAACCGAGACCAAAGAUAAUUGAUAUACUCUUUUUCUCCCUUAAUCAUUCGUGGUUUUAUGAUAUCCAAAAAAAAAAAUCAUAUUAGUAAAUGUUCCUACAAAUCUAGAACUUUGUAGAACACUUCUUCCAGUUGCAAUCUCCUCGUCUUUUCGAUCUCUCGGGUAGGCUUCUUUCGGUUGAAUUUCCUCUAAUUUGAACACGAUGGAGGAUGUGCCUGAGAAGACACUCCGAUGAUAAAUUAAGUUCAAGAAUUAGGUAUCAGGAGAGUAGGGAGUGAACAGUUACCUCGAGUGUUGUGCCUCUCCCUUUAUUUAUACUGUUAUGGAUGGAUUCUGGCUGUUAUGGAUCUGCUUUGAGUCCAGUUGGAAGCCCAAUUACACCUUAACCAUGUUUUGCAUUUAAUCUGGUUUAUUCUUGUCUAAUUACGUAUUUGACUGUAAUCUUGUUGGCUAGUCCGUCAAUCGUAAUACAGUAAAGAAUAAAUGAAAUUUAUGUCCAAUUUCAUGAAACAAUUUUGAGAAACAUGUAAAAAAGAUUAAAAAAAAAAAAAAAGGAAUCCGAUUCAUUCCUCCACUACUUAGUGCAGGAGGAACAAGAAAGAAUUGGGGGAGAAAAACAAUAGAUUAGACUAUAUGGGUUGAAAAUGGGCACUUCAAUUUUUUCUUACUUUGUUGUCAUUCGUCAACAAAGUAUUACAACUAAUAGCAGUUAGGUUUCAUUGCAUAAUAAUAGUUGUUUGCACUCACAUACAAAGUAAUGGUAACAAUCAUUGUUUGCAGUCGAGUUUAAUAUUAUUUUUAAGUUUUUAAGAUUAUUUUAUUCUUAAAUAUACUUUUAAGGGUAAAUUUACCACUUAAUUAGAUAAUAUUUAUCAUUAAAUUAUAGUAUGGAAAUUGAAUUGAAUAUUUAGCAUUGAGAAACUAUUUUUUUAACAACUAAAUAGGCAACAUGUUGAAUAUCCUGCUCCCAAAAUCGAAAUAUCCGAUAUUGAAAAUACUAAGAUUAAUUAUCUCAAAAUUGGAAACCUCCUAAAUGAAAAAUUCAUUAAAACAAAUAAAAGACAUUUAAUCAACACAAAUCUAAUCAAGAAAAAAUUACUUAAUUUUAUAAAAGUCAUAUUAAUCUUAUAAAAAUGUUCAUAUUUACUAUAUGCUGAGUUGAAUUGUUUUUAAAUAAUGAUACGCGUGUGAAAAAAAAUAUGAUUUUUUUUUUUAAUAAUAUUGACUAAUAAGAUCUAAAGUUUCUUAGAAAUGUUUGAAGAAGUCAAAACAACCUCCAACUUACAUCUCUACAUCAUAAAUAUAAAUAAAUAUUGGCAAAUGUUUCUUGUAACAUAUCAAUUUCAACAUAACCCAACCUAUUAUUAAAAAUGACAAAAAUGUCCUUCUAAAAUAACGAAAAUAAUAUUAAGAAAAGAAGGGUGUAAAUAAAAAUUAAUUUUGAACCCUUUUAUUCAGACAAAUUCUAAUUUAGAUAUCUCACUAUAAGAAAAUCAUGAAAUAAAAAUCAAUUUUUAGACACCAAAAUAAUGAGUUGCAAUAGAGACCAUUUUAGAAACUAAAAAAAAAUGGUUUCUAAAUUAGUUUUUAUUAUUGUUAAAUAGUUUCUAAAUUGGUAUCUAAUUAGCAACCAAAGUUUUAGAGAGCAAAUUUAGAAACUAAAUAAUUGGUAGUUAAAACCUUGGUCGCUAAUUAGAUACCAAUUUAGAAACUAUUUAACAGUAAUAGAAACUAAUUUAGAAACCAAUUUUUUAUUUAGUUUUAGUUUCUAAAAUGGUUUCUAAUUUAGUUACUAUUGAAAUUAAUUAUUUUGGUAUCUAAAAAUUGGUUUCUAUUUCAUGAUUUUUAUUGUAAUGUCUAUAACACAUUUUUAAAUUUCAAAAAUUUUUAUCCAAAAUGCAUUUUUAAUUUUGUGUUCCGGAUUUUUUUUAUCUAGAAUGUAUAUUUUUUAUUUUGAAUUAUAUUUACUAUUCCAGAUUUUUAAAUCUGGAAUAAGGUAAUUUUGGAAAUUUCAAAAAGUGAUAGGUGCAGAUUAGAAUUGAUACGGUGCAAGAAGAAAUUGUGAUAAAUAUUCUAUGUAAGCCCAUUGAUCCAUUAACAAAACAAACUCUUUAGUAGGCUUUUAGUGGGCUCAAUUGGCCAUGAGGAGGCCCGAGUAGAACAGAGAACCCUGUUUUUGUACAUCAGAAAAACUUAAGAAUAGAACAGGAAACAAAACAAAAGACGCUGCCUAUGGAAAAGUGACCAUAAAUCCUAGCAAUGGCAAACCACUUCGGUUACUUUAAUUACAACUCCAACUAAAAGAUUCAGUGGUAAAACACUAGAAGAGACAGUGACAAGUAUGUUGCUUGGAGAUCUCACAUUCAAUUAGAAUAUUUUAUAAAUCGGUGUAAAUUUCAUCUUAUAAGUCAAUUUUAUAAAGUUGAAUUAGACUUAAAGUUUAUUUUUAUAUAAUGUUCUAGUCAACUUAAGGUCGGUCGGAAUCUGGAUGAGCAAGACCUUCUAGAAAUGAGAGGGACUCUUCCUGCGAUGACACUCCGACGCUCAAGUCAGUAAGAGCAUAAAUAUGAUGAGUACAAUAUGAAAUAGGAGUUGAGAGUACUCCUUGUGUUGUUUAUUAGAUGAUGAUGAUUAGAUCAUAUAUUAGAUGAUCUUUGUUGUAGAGCGUAAUAUGGUAUAUAUAAAUCGAAUUGUAACAUCUCCACCUUUAGUCAUGAUUAUACCUUAAUUGAGUAAUUAAAGUUAAUUGAUUGAGAUCCCUUGAAUUGUGCUCCCUCAUAAUGUUAGAUACAUAGGUCGGGAAACAACCCAUAAAUGACCAAACAUCAGACUACACCCAUGACCUAAUAAUAUAGUAUGAGAGUCAAUCUAAAUAUACCUUAGAAAAAUUUGUUAAACUUAUUCGAACUCGUGUUAUCAAAUCAUUAUUAUUAUCAGACCAUCAACAAUAUAACAUUCUCGUAUAUAACAACGAUUUCAAAAACAUGUCUCGAGUCAAUAAAUUUAUGUACUAUAUAAUUUCAUGUGUAUGUGCUUUUACACAAUCAAACAUAUCUAUCUUUGGAUCUCCAAUCUUAUAAACACAAAAUUGUGACUGAAAAAAGAGAUUUCUUUAAAAAUAAUUAGUCAAUUUUUUACAAGAAUAAUUAUUAAUAAAAUCAAUUGAUAUUUCCUAACAUAUUAUGGCCGCACAAGAGGCCUAAGACUCUAUAUAUAUUUGCUCGAGCUUGAAACAAAAAAGUGUUGAACUAAUAAUGUCAGCUCUUCAUUUGAUCUAGGGACUUUUCUUAGUUAUUACCAUGCAAAUCAUACGGAAAAAAAAAUAUCAAACAGAGGAAAUAAAUUGGUAAUAAAAGUUUUUUAUUAAUUAUACACUUGGAGCAGCUUUCAAACCCACAAAAACAUUACAGUAUUUCACAGAAUUUGAAAAAAAAAGAACGUUAAAGACUUCAAUGACCUCGCCCUCUGUGACUAGGUCCAGAAUAAGCCCGAUUGAUGAAUAAAGCAAUGAAGGAAGGUGAAGAAUAUUGAUCUUUGAGAGAUUUUCUGGCCUCAACAUAGUUGGAGUAUGAGAGCAAGAGCACGAAGAGGGUGAAAAAUGCCACUACAAGAGAGUAACCCUUCAUUUUUGUAGCUGCUAACUACCCUCUUAAUCUGCACAGAUAUACCAAAAAAUGACAAGUACUGAUCCAAGAUUAAUGUCAUAUUUAUAUAUUGGAUGUGUGCGUGUGAAGGUUGAAAACAAAGACAUUUUUGUGUCUUACUUCGGUUUUGUGGGGACCUAGGUAUGGUAGCAGAAUUUGAAGGUUAUCAGUAUUUGCAGUGAAUUGAAUUAGAUAUAAGACUGAAGAUAAAAUAAUUUAUAGUCUUCAAAUAAGACUCGGUAAAAGGUGUGGAAAACAAAAGUUGUCCAUGUUUUUCAAAAACCAAGUUAACAUAGUUUACAAUAUCACGUGUCUUCUUCUUUUAGGUUUAAAUACAUACAUAAAAAACAAUAUAACUCACGUUACCAUGAAGUCAUGCAUUAAUCUUAUCUUGGGACAAUGCCUUUAUAAAUACUUAUCAUGUAGCCACACACUGUUUUCUUCUUCCACUUCCUCCAUAAAGAAUAAGAAUGCUAAAACUAGUCCUGCAAAGAAUAUAUAUCUAUUUUUUGUUGUUGUUACAUAGUCCAAAAUGAGAAGUGAAGUGAAUUCUUAAUUGGUAUUGGAAAAGACUGGGAAUUGAGUUUGAAUUGGUCUGUUGUUUACUCUCAGCAUUUUCAUAGAUUGAUCAACAUCCCCAGUCAUUGGUCUAACACCAUCUCAGCAGUCUAUAUAGGCUUCAGACUCAGAAUCCAUUCUCAUAUCUAUACAUUGCCAUUAUUCAUAUAUGUAUAUAAGUCAAACAUGACAGACAAUAUUGACAUAAUGACAUUCAAAACAAUUCUUUUAAGCAAACUACUUUUAGGUCAAUUCAGUAUUCACAUCUGCAUUUACACUCAAUCAAUGAAUUGGUUAAAACCAAUCCAAAUUGACUUAGUGGCUGCUGACUCCUGAGGAUCAAAUUUCUUGGCUUCACGUUGCUACGUAUCAGUUUCUGAUGUCAUGCAGGAGAAAUGUGUAAGAAUGGUUAUUAUUGAAAACUGCAGCAGACAUCUCAGCAAGAAAGCCACUUUUGAAGUAUGUCUGUGCAUUUAAUUUUUAAUUUGACUCAAAUUUGUAUUUAUGGUCCCAACAUCACUGCCUUUCACUUAUUGAAUUAAUCUUCUUUCUUUUGUAUGACUAAACCGAGUUCAUCUUGCAUUGAGUAAUAUCUACCAAAUUUCAUAUCAUCUGCAAAAUUCCAUGUCAUGGAAUAUAAAUUGAAGAGCAGCAUGCAGCAUGAAGCAUGAAUCCAAAUAUUUUGUAUCCUAUAACUUUUUGAAUGAUCGACAGAAGUUUUUUAAAAAUCUUGUGAUCAUAUUAUAAUUGAUUUAAAUUUGUAUUACUCUAUUGAUCACCUUACCUACUACUUUUAAAAAGUUUUCCUUAAUUAAAUUAAAUUCAUUGCAUUGUUAAGGUAUCAAAGAAAAAAGUUGUCUAAAAAACAAGACAAUUUGGCGUUAAUGAAGGCUAACUUUGUAAUCAAACUAAAGUACUAAAGUACUUGUUAAACUGUUAUGAAAUUCAUAAUAAAUAAAUAAAUAUUUUAAUCAUAUCAGACAAGAAAAUCAUAAAAUAAAAACCAAUUUUUAAAGACUAAAAUAAUUAGUUAAAAUAGUAACUAAAUUAGAGACAAUUUUAGAAACUAAAUAAAAAAUUGAUUUCUAAAUUAGUUUCUAUUAUUGUUAAAUAAUUUUUAAAUUGGUAUCUAAUUAGCAAUCAAGCUUUUAACUACCAAUUAUUUAGUUUCUAAAUUUGGUUUCUAAAAUCUUGAUUGCUAAUUAGAUACCAAUUUAAAAACUAUUUAACAAAUAAUAAAAACUAAUUUAGAAAUCAAUUUUUUUGUUUGUUUUUAAAAUGGUUUUUAAAUUAGUUACUAUUGCAACUAAUUAUUUUGGUCUCUAAAAAUUAGUUUCUAUUUCAUAAUUUUUUUAUAAUGUACAUUAAUUAUUUUUAAUUUACAAUAAAUAAUUUAAAGUGUGAUAAUGAUCAUUUUAAUUGUAUUUAAUUUUAAUUUAGAAGUAAAGAUAAAGUAUUGUAGAUUAAAUAAUUUAGAUAAAGAAAAAAAUGGAGUGGAUAUCUAGGUGAGAGUGUAGGAAGGAAGAACUUAACGCUUUUUUCACGCAACUUUUACAUUUUCGAAAAUAUAAAAAUGAAAUUUAUAUUUCUCUGUUUAUCAGAAGAUUAUAAAAAUCAUGUAUAUUUUUGGAUAUGUUUUGUUCUCAAUAAACUACAUCUCUUUAUCUGUAUAAUUUUUAUUGUUGUGUUAAGGAAUGAGUAAAUGAUAUUUUUAUGGGUGACUUUAUAACCUCCAGUACAAUUUUUAUUUAUUUUAUAUUUUAAUUAGUUUAAAAUUUAGAAAGUAUUCUUGGAAAUAUAAAAAAAAAAACUAACCAAAAAUAUUUUUAGACAUGCCUAGGAAUAAAUUUUCAAUUAUAAUAUUUCUAUCCAUUACAUUAUCAAGAAUAUAAAAUCUUGAAACAAACAUUUUAACCAUAAGAAAAGAACUGAAGGUUUUUCAUUAUAAUUUACGUGCUUUAAUUCAUAAUAUAAAAGUAUAUGAAACAUAUUUUGGGUUUACACGGACUUUAAAAAAGGAAUAGGACUGUUCCUUCUUGCAAUUCCAUAAGUUUUCAAAUUUCCAAAAGUGUCUCUUUAUAAUAUUUCGGAUUACGUAAUUCGGAAGUCAUUUUUUAAAUUUGUAAUUAGCUACCGGAUUACAUAAUCCAAAAGUCAUUUUUUAGAUGCAUGAUUAUUCUUUGGAUUACAUAAUCCGGAAACUACUCUAUGGGAGUGACACAAGAAGGACAAAAAUGUAUUUUCAUGUUGUGUAUGGAGGUGGCAGAAGAAGAUAUGGAGGUGCAGGAAGAAACAGUCAUGGAAUAGAUAUAUAAUUAAGACGAAAGAUGGGCUCAGUCUCGUCAUGAAAGAUGGGUUUAUCUGCACAUUAGGCCCAUAUCAUUAGAGAAAGCCUAAUAACUUUUUUAAUUGACUUUACAAGUAAUGGGCUUUCGGUGUGUUGUCUUUUUCUGAGCUUUUUCUUUCUGCACCCAACCAAUUCUAACCUGAACCUAUCAAUUUUUGAAAUUCUAUAAUUCUCCUGGAAUUGAAAAUUCAAAACUGAAAAAUAUAUUCUGGAAAAUAUAUUCUUUUUCAUUCAGAAAAUGAAAUUUUAGAACAAAAUUGAAAACCCAGAAAAGUCAAAUCUAAAAUACAAAUAAUACAUUCUGAAAAAAAAAAUCUAGAAACAUAUCUGCAAAAAAUAUUCUAGAAAAUAAAAAUCUAGAAGCAUAUUCUGGAGAAAUUAUUCUAGAAAAUUGUUUUAUAAAUCCAAAUCCACGAUUGUAUUCUGGAAUACCAAAUUAUUAAUAUAUUUAUCAUUUCCCCUCACUAAUAGAGUGCAUGUUCAAAUUUUUGGGUGCAGGAAUCAAAACUGUUAUUUUCAGUUCAGUAAGUCGAUUGUUAUAAGGCAAUUUUUAAAGCUUGUUACCAAUUAUUUUCAACUAUGUAUAAUUCAUAUUAAUAUCAUGAUUAAAAAAUUAUUUAAAGCUGAGUACUCUUUUGCAGAAAAAAAAAAGUUAGUAUGAGAGUGUCAUGAUUUUUUUUUACAAAAAAUUUAAUAACUAUUUUUUUAUUUAUAUGGGUCAGCAAGUAAAUUUGUUCCUGCUAUUAACCCGCGUGGGUUGCGGGUUAUAUAGAGCGGAUCAAAACGGAUUAACGGAUUAGAUUAUUAAACUCGCUUUGCAUUUUUUGGUAGCGGCUCACGGACCCACCCGCAUGACCAACUCCGUAUUAUCACCCUUAAUUCGCACUAAUUAACCUAAUUCAGCUAUAAAAAAAAACUUACUAAAGGUGUUAACAUGUAUUGAAAACUCUAAUAUUCCUAUUAAAACAUGUUAAUUUGUUGAUCAAUUUACACCAUCAACGAAUUUUUACAUAAUAUGAUUUUUCAAUCUAAUAAUUUUUUCUAUGUUUACUGCUUGUGAGAAUUUUUUUAUCAAAUUUUGGAAAAUAUAAAUACAAAACUACAGAAUUUUAGUUUUAUAUAUUUAGAAAGUGUGUAAUACAUCAAUUGUGUAAAAAAAGAAGAAGGAAGUAUCAAACUAUAUAAUGAGUUCGUAUGGAAUUUGUAAAUAAGAUCUAUAUGAUGAGAACUCUCAAAUUCAAUCCAACUGAAAUAUUUUGAUAAAUUUAUUCAAUAAAAAAAUUUAGAGAAAAACUACAAAAAUCUCAAUGCAAAAUACGAUAUCAAGGUAAUUAUAAAUACUUAGCUCAUUGUUCUACAAGAAAAGUAAAUGAUAGAUUUAUAAAUAUAUAAUCAAGAAUGAAAUUUGGAGCAAGGAACAUGAUCAACUAUUUAUAUAUAGUUGUGGAGAAAUAACAUUUCACCAAAGGUUAAGGUAUGGAAAGUAAUGUUUAUCAGAGAAUCUUAUACCUUGACAUUCAACUCUUUUACUAAGUCCACUAAACGACCAAUAAUAAUAUUAUUUUAAUCAUUUUUAUAUCAUUUAAUUAUAAAUUUUGUUUUUUUAUUUAAAAUUUACCCUUUUUUUUCUAAAACUAACAAAUCAAAAGUCGUUAAACUCUAAGACAUGUGAAAGUAUAGUUUUCCUUAAGGAAAAUACUAACCAAGAACAUUUUGUUUAAAAGAAAAGUGUUGCAAAUCCACUAUGAAAAUUGACUCACGGGUGUCUUGUUCACUUGUUCUAAACCUUACAAUAUAUGGGAAGUGUUGCACGUGGAUAAACAUGAAUGUUGUACUACAUAGUAUUCCAAAAAUUUAUUAUAACCAAAACUAUGUUUCCUGGUUCAUGUUUAAGAAAAUAGAAUGGGAUAUCCUCUUAUUUGUUGUUGUCUAUAGUUUAUAUGGAGGUAGAAAAAAUUAUUUGUUGUUAAGAAGUGGACUUUAGGCCUAACUCAACCCCAUAAAAUCGGCCUAUAAAACCAGUUCAUAGGAUUGAGGAUUACACCUACUUAUAUACAAUGAAUUGUCCUCAUCUUUAGUUGAUGUGGGAUCUCCAUCACACCCCCCUCACGCCGAGAGUGAUAGAUAGAAGCUCGUGCGUGGGAUAACAUAUUAUGGGUGGUGGUCUGAUAAACCCAACAAACACUCUCGGCAUGAGGGGGUGUGUUGGAGAUCCCACAUCGACUAUAUAAGUGGGUGCAAACCUCAACCUUAUGAGUCGGUUUUAUGGGGUUGAGUUAGGCUUAAAGUUCACUUUGUAAUAUGGUAUCAGAGUCAUUUCGAGCCUAUCCUAGCAAGUAUUUGUUGGGUUUAUCAGGCCACCAUCCAUGAUAUGUUAUCCCACGCACGAGCUUCUAUCUAUCACUCUCAGCGUGAGGGGGUGUGUUUGAGAUCUCACAUCUCAUAGAGAUAAGAACAUUUCAUUGUAUAUAAGUGGGUGUAAACCUCAAUCUUAUAAAUCGGUUUUAUGGGAUUGAGUUAGGCUUAAAGUCCACUAUGUAAUAUUUGUGUUCCAAGAUAAGGGAUUUUAUGAAGGUAAUCCACCAAGUCAAGUUCCUUAGUAUGGACAAUGAGAUGAAUCUCACCAACUCUCCACGGGAAAAAAAAACUCAUAACUUUGUUUUCUUAUAUAAUUUUUCUCAAUGACUCAGAAACUUAAGGCUACGUUAUUGAAGGUGGGAGAAGAUGACGUAUAUUAUCUGAAUAUUCACUAAUGGUCCCACGAUAAAUAAGUGUAUUUUAGUUUUCUAAUUUUGUGUGUGUGAAUGAAACCUUUGUUUUGAGUGUUUAUUUUUACACGGUAAACAAGUAGAGUAUAACCAAUCUUUUUCAGAACGACCUUCACUUUUAUGUUCCCAAGUUGUAUACAUUAAUUGAUAACUCUUGCACCAAUUUUAGUACAUGUUUCUAUUGCUUGAGUUAAAAAAAAACAUUAAAUGUAUUAUUUACUAGAUCAAAUACUAAAGAGAGAGAAAAGAUAGUUAUAAAUGAGAAUGCAUUGUUCUAUAGUUGCAAUGAGUUGUUGUAGUACAAAAAACACGCGCACCCAGGUCAAAAAAGCAAGGUAAUUAAUAACUCCAACAGUAUGCUUAGUUUAAAACAAAUUCUGCAUAGAUUCAUAAAUAAAAACAUACACAAUUAAUUUCCCCAAAGUUACAACUUACCACCAUCUCUUCAAUUCAUCGUUUUCAUCUUCUCCACUCUUUUUCUUCGAACACCGUGUCCAUCUUUAAACAUCGAAUAUCUUUCAAAUUCCAUUCUUCUUCACCAACUUUCCACAGUCCUAAUAUUAACGAUUUUAUGUACAAAUGUAGCAAUUUUAUCACUUCUUGCUUACUCUCAGUUUUGAAAAUAAUAGUUAAAGAGAAAUAUCUUUUUUAAAAUCAAACAAUCAAAAUGAAACUGAGAAACAAUAAUCCUUUCUUCCGAUUCUAGGAGAUGAAUCGGCACGGUUUCUUCCGGUUCUAGGAGAUGAAUCGGCACGGUGGAAGUCAUUGUUCCGACCUCAAGUCGGUCCGACCUCAAGUCGGUUGGACAACCACAUUGUUAGGGUUAAUCACCGUAUUCGAGGUAUUUCACUUUGAAGGUCAGUGUUUCGUCACGGUUUUAUCCUGAAAAUACGCAUUAAGGGAAUAUAUAAACUCUCAAUUCUUAAGGGAAGUGAAACUAUUUUGCCAUUUGGAUUCUUCUCCUUUUAGAACUGCAUUUCAUGUUAACCUUUCUUUCAAUCAUCUAAAAUUUCCAUUCAUUUGUUUUUGCGUGAAUAUAAAUUAAUACAAUGCAAAACGUUAAAGUGAAAAAUCUAGAAGAAACGAAGGCUAACUAACUACUUAUUAACGAAAGAAGAAAGUGCGUGAGUGUAUAGAUAAUAAGAAACAAAGUAAAAGAUGCAAAAAUCACAAAUGGUGAUUUGGCCUAUAUUAACUCCGAUAUCACACUCAUACCAAUGAAGUCACGAUCACGCGUAUUGCACCAACAGUGACGAUUUUGCACCACCAUUAUUUUGUACAAGACUCCAAACACAACCACAAAAAACCCCGUCACAUAUGACGACACCUACAAUAAAAUACGCUAAUACGAUUGUUUCAAUGAUGUUGUUUAUGUAAACAGAGGUGAAAUUUUAAGGAAACCAAAGAGUAGAUUAUUGUGUGUUAUGGAAUAUAUAAUUUGAUUAGCGAAAUUUACAGAGAAAAUAUAUAAUAAGGAAUCCUAGAGUCCUAGUUGAGGGUUGAAGGCCACACAUCCCUAAAUCCUAGAUAAAAUAUUUGGUUGGUUCCUUGUAUAGAAUAAUGAUAAUAUAUAGAUAUAGAUGUCCUGACAAAAGGACCCCCAAAAGAGAUGUUACAUAUUUAAGGACAAAAUCAUGACCUCUGAUUUGUACCCCAUGUGUGAACUUUGAACCACUCUUGUUAAUUGUUAUCACUCUUUUCCAUUUCCUGCAGUUUACCUCCUUAACCAUCCAUCUCCAUAUAAGCUGUCAUAUUGAGUACAACUCCAAUUUGGGCAGACAUAGGAACCCAUUUCCCAAAAGGCUACAAAUUUUGAAAAGGAUUCAUUCAUCUUCGUUUCUUUUCACUGCUUGCUUGAUGAUGGUGAAACCUUCUUCCCUAUUGCACCAGGUGACCAGAAAUCAGCACCGUUGCUACUCGCCACGUGUACGGUGCAUCCCACAGGGAUCAAGCACAGACCCCUACUCCUCAACUCCUUCUUCACUUCCUCUUCAUUGUUUUCUCCGUCCCCCUGAAAUAACGCACACACAACAAAUAUCUUCAGUCAUCAAGAGUUACCUUAAAUGGCAAAGUGUCACAGUGUUGACUCUGUUCAGUCACCCAAAACCAGCCUCAGCAUUUUCAAGUAAGGUGAUAUAUGUGCGCUAUUGUCCCCAUCAAGCGGGCCCUGCACUCACACCUUUUCUAGAUUUUGUUUCCCAGUAAUAAAUCAUAGGAUCAAGGUUUUUAAAACACGCAAUUGCAUCCACAGUAUCGGGGUUUUGCUUUUGCAACCACAAUUGUCACUGCAUUUGUCUACCGUUUUUCAUAAUGUAAAAGAUUGUGACAAAAAUUUGGCUGUAAUUGUGACAUCAGUUGCAUUUACCAACAGUUUUUCACAAAGUCAAAGAUGGAGACAGAACCAUGAAUUGAAUUAAAACCUUUGCAAAAUAAAGAAGAAUGUGAGAAUGAUGAGAGAUGGGAUGGGACUCACGUGCUGGUGUUGGUCUGAGGAAGACAAAGUUUGCAAGUAAGGAGAGCACAGGACCUGAACUUGGUCAUGAAGAAAUCUUAUAUAGCCCAUGGCCUCGUGAAGCACUGAUGCUGUAUCUGUCUGCACAUGCAGUUGUGAUCAACAUUCAAAAAUGUCAAUUCAUCAUACACAUUGAGCACACAAAUUUACAAAAUUCAAACUUUAACAUGUUGGCUACCUUGCCGAAGGGAGAAACAAGCUGUUGUAACGCUGCGAUUCGUUCCCCGAGCUUCUCCUUCCUCUGAUAUUCCAAAUAAUUUCGUCAAACUACAUGAAACUAUAUAUGAUACAAGACAAUGAUAUAAAACUUUUUAAAAAGCACACGACAUUUUUUAUCAGAAAACGACAGGCCGUGGGUCUGUGCGUUGGAAAAGUUUAAGUUCAAAGUGAAGACAGAAAAGAAAACGACAUGCAAGCAAUCCAUGGUUGAUUUUCCUCACCUUUGCAUGUCCGGUUGAGGUGGGGUUCUCUGCUUUGGUCUUCUUAGUUUGUCUUUGGCCUCCAACACCAACCUUGGUCACUGGCUCUUGUCCCAACCCAUUCCGCUUUUUCUGCAAACUCUUCAACAAAAGACAAAAUGAAAAAAAAAAAUAGUAUUGGAACAACACCACCAUGACUAUUCCCCAGCCCAGUUGCCAACCAAGAAAACAGAGACAAAGUGCGACAUACAGUGGACUUGGGUAGGGAAUUGAAGCCGGUGUUGGUGUAGUUGGAGGAGGAAGCAGAAGAGGAAUCGCUGGAAGUGAUGACAGAUUUCUGAGGGGUGACGGUGGUGGGAGGAAGCGAAAGGUGGGGUUGGUUUUGAUGGUUUCCAAAGCAUAGCAUUUUGGGUGGCUUGUGAAAGGAGAAAAGUGGCGACCGGGAAAGGUUGUUGUGAUUGUAAGAGGAGUGGUCCUGAGGAAGAGGCAAUGCAGUGGCAUCGUGGUGGUCAUGGUGAUGGUGAUGGUCAUGGUCAUCUCCGAAUAGUAACUGAGAAAAAGUGGUCCCUGUGGGUGCAGUGAAAUGGUGGAGUUCAAAUUCGUCCUUGGGCUCCAUGGAAAAGGAGUUGGAAAUGAAAUGAAUGGGAAAGAGAAGGCGAAAGAGAAAAGAGAGGGUUAUGGGAGAAAGAGAGGAACAAGUGUCAAGUGUGAAAGAGGGUGGGAAGACAUAUGUAAAUGUUUAUGUGGUUACAGUAGAAAUUGGUAAAGAAAAAUGUUAGAGAGAAAGCAAAAUGAAAAUGAAAAUGAGAGAGAGCCAUGGGAUGGGAUGGGCUGGGUGGGGUGUGGGGAAGUGGGUUCUUUCCGAGAACGGCUUCGGUUUUCGGCAACCAAUGGUCAAAGCCACCUGGCCCGAGAAAACCGUGUUUGAGCCCUCCAACGCCUUUUUUCCUCUCACCGCUUCCACUUUCCUCCAACCUCUUCUUUCUUACCUCACCAACUUACCAUUUUACUCUUUCAAUUUUUGUAUCAAUUCAUUUGUCAUCAUUUUCCUUUAGAAUUUCUUUCCUACAAAAAAAUAAAUAAAUGGAAAAACUUUCUAGUUUUACAGAUUUUUUUUUGCCAAUAACUAAUUUUUCAAUUAUUUUAUAAAAUAGUUUUAAAAAUGUACCGGAAGACCUGUUGCUUGAUUUUAGAGACGGAUCGCGUCAAAAUACAUUUAAAACACACUUAAUAAAUGACAACAAUGACAAUUAUGAUUAUGUCUCAUCCAAUUUAAAUGAAUCUCUAAGAGAUCAGCUAACAUUGAUUUUAUGGAAGAUAUUUUAUUAAAGAUAUUCUUCAAAUAUACCAAUAUAUGUCUCUGUAAAUUAGGGAUUCGAUUAUAAAUCAAUUAGCAACUAAUAUUUGAUAGAUUUGGUUCAUCACAAUAAGAAAAAAGGUCCAUGACUAAAACACUACAAACAAAUUAUUCUAGGUGUAAGAUAUGUU
rnacentral:lncRNA from 1 species